AAGAUACAUAGACAAAGACUCAUACGGAAUUCGGCUAAACCAUCAAAGCUGUUAGAAGGAAGAAGAAGCUUGGUAGUG
rnacentral:sRNA from 1 species